ACCCUUCCGAAUCCGCGCGAUAACCCCUAUAUUGAGGGUGCCGGUUCGCCGGCUAUGGCGAUAAACGGCCUGUGGAAUAAGCGAUGCGGACCCGGGGGCAGUACCCGGCGCCUCCACCAAUCCCAUUGCCGCCGCGCGGUUGCGGCGGCCCGUUACGGGGGCGAAACAGGAUCGACGCGCGUGUAAAGACAGGUCUUUUGCUCGGCAUGGUACCGCCGUUAUCGGGCCGUUUUACAGAUGCCAACGACAACCGUAUGGCUCUCGCUGCCUAGACAUAGGUAAGCGCGGUUCGGGGGGCGCCGGGCAACAGAAGCCCCCCACU
rnacentral:tmRNA from 1 species